UACAGAGGGUGCAAGCGUUGUUCGGAAUUACUGGGCGUAAAGCGCACGUAGGCGGAUUUGUAAGUCAGGGGUGAAAUCCCGGGGCUCAACCUCGGAACUGCCUUUGAUACUGCAAAUCUCGAGUCCGAUAGAGGUGGGUGGAAUUCCCAGUGUAGAGGUGAAAUUCGUAGAUAUUGGGAAGAACACCGGUGGCGAAGGCGGCUCACUGGCUCAUUACUGACGCUCAGGCGCGAUAGCGUGGGGAUCAAACAGG
rnacentral:rRNA from 1 species